CGAAGGCCUUGGCCUAUUUAUCCCGGUUAUCUUUAAACCAGUACCCUUUCAUGGUUUCACAAGCCCUGAAGUAUGUCAUAUUGCUGAUCAUUGAUUAGCCAUUCCACACUCAAAUACGUUCUCAAGCUUUGUCCAAUCCUUGCAUCCUGUCUCAGACCCGGGUUUGUUCCUGACACUUUGGCUUAUCAUGUAUCCAGUGUACCACACCUUUUAAAUUCUAU